CUCUGGAGCAAUCAGUCUUGGCAACCAGGUCUGUGCAUAAUCUAGAGAUCAAAUUGUUCCUGAUUCUCAAUCUCUGAUGAGCUAUGCCACGCUUAGAAGGUGGACAAGCGGUGCAUCUUGAUGUGGAAAACAGGUUUUUCUUUACAUUUUCUCAAUCCUAGGAAGAAUGGACAUCACAAGGAACUGCCAAGUACGGAAUCCCUGUAUUCUAGGAUUUGGCAAGCUGUCCACUGAAACAUUAUUUUUCCCAGCCUUCUUUGCAGAGGUGGGGAAACUGAGGCAAAGGGUGUUUAAAUGGUCUGCCCAAAGUCACACAGCUAAGAAGCAGUGAUGGGAUAUGAAGUCAAACAGUCUUAAAAGCAAGCUAUCCUGUUGCAAAAUAGCUUCUCCAAUCAAGUUUUUGACCCUAUCACUCCUCAACAUUGGCUAUAGUUGAGGGCACCAGUCUUGUGGCUUCAUACAACAUCUAUAUGUUGAAAUACCUACAUUUCUGUAAUUUGGACACCUCCUUUAAACUUCAGACUCAUAUAUCUAAUUGCCCUUCCAGCAUCUUACUCGAAUGUUUGUUGAGUCUCCAGAUGGAACAGAUCCAAAACAGAACCCAAAUUAGUUGAUAACGUCUUCCAGGAGACCUACGGCCAUCCUACUGAUAUGAACCAGAUCAUACCUGCCCUGAUGGGAUGCCAGAGAAAGACUGCUGCAAGGUACGCGCCACUCACAGACCUCUCCAUUUAUCUCACUGAUGCAAAGGACCCUGAGUAGGGAUCCUCUGGAAACAGAACAGAGGGAAGAAGAUACCUUCCCUGAAGCCCAGAUGUUCCAGAAGCCUGCGCCUCAUUCACAAAGUCACCCCAAAAAUGCCCUAGAGUUUGGAGUUUUGAAGAAGCGGGAAGAAGGCCUGAGUAAGGGCCUGGGAACCAAGUUAGAUCCUACUUCAGCAUCAGCACAUGCCAGCGAUGGUGCACACAGGUGGAGAGCGGCCUGCCCGUCUUUUCCAUGGUGCCCACAGACCCAUUUAGGAUGAAAGAUCAGAAAAUUCUCUCCAUGUCACCGCUUCUGAAACAUGUGAAUAUUAAUAUUUGGUGCCUAAAAGGCCAUGGCAAAUUUUCAUUGGUUUUAUCUUAUUCAUGAUUAUAGAGUUGAAAGAAUACA
ensembl:lncRNA TNPO1-DT TNPO1 divergent transcript